rnacentral:rRNA from 1 species
GACGAACGCUGGCGGUGUGCUUCACACAUGCAAGUCGAACGAGGUAGCAAUACCUAGUGGCGGACGGGUGAGUAACGCGUGGGAAUCUGCCCUUGGGUUCGGAAUAACUCAGAGAAAUUUGAGCUAAUACCGGAUGAUGACGUAAGUCCAAAGAUUUAUCGCCCAAGGAUGAGCCCGCGUAGGAUUAGCUUGUUGGUGAGGUAAAGGCUCACCAAGGCGACGAUCCUUAGCUGGUCUGAGAGGAUGAUCAGCCACACUGGGACUGAGACACGGUCCAGACUCCUACGGGAGGCAGCAGUGGGGAAUCUUGCGCAAUGGACGAAAGUCUGACGCAGCAACGCCGCGUGAGUGAAGAAGGCC